rnacentral:rRNA from 1 species
CCCAAUGAUAUCUCUAGAAGGCAUCUGAAAGAGAUUAAAGAUUUAUCGGUGAUGGAUGGGGAUGCGUCUGAUUAGCUUGUUGGCGGGGUAACGGCCCACCAAGGCAACGAUCAGUAGGGGUUCUGAGAGGAAGGUCCCCCACAUUGGAACUGAGACACGGUCCAAACUCCUACGGGAGGCAGCAGUGAGGAAUAUUGGUCAAUGGACGAGAGUCUGAACCAGCCAAGUAGCGUGCAGGAAGACGGCCCUAUGGGUUGUAAACUGCUUUUAUAAGGGAAUAAAGUGAGUCUCGUGAGACUUUUUGCAUGUACCUUAUGAAUAAGGACCGGCUAAUUCCGUGCCAGCAGCCGCGGUAAUACGGAAGGUCCGGGCGUUAUCCGGAUUUAUUGGGUUUAAAGGGAGCGUAGGCCGGAGAUUAAGCGUGUUGUGAAAUGUAGAUGCUCAACAUCUGAACUGCAGCGCGAACUGGUUUCCUUGAGUACGCACAAAGUGGGCGGAAUUCGUGGUGUAGCGGUGAAAUGCUUAGAUAUCACGAAGAACUCCGAUUGCGAAGGCAGCUCACUGGAGCGCAACUGACGCUGAAGCUCGAAAGUGCGGGUAUCGAACAGGAUUAGAUACCCUGGUGGUCCGCACGGU